rnacentral:rRNA from 1 species
AAUAGAUACCCCGGUAGUCCACGCCGUAAACGAUGAGUGCUAAGUGUUAGAGGGUUUCCGCCCUUUAGUGCUGAAGUUAACGCAUUAAGCACUCCGCCUGGGGAGUACGGCCGCAAGGCUGAAACUCAAAGGAAUUGACGGGGGCCCGCACAAGCGGUGGAGCAUGUGGUUUAAUUCGAAGCAACGCGAAGAACCUUACCAGGUCUUGACAUCCUCUGACAACCCUAGAGAUAGGGCUUCUCCUUCGGGAGCAGAGUGACAGGUGGUGCAUGGUUGUCGUCAGCUCGUGUCGUGAGAUGUUGGGUUAAGUCCCGCAACGAGCGCAACCCUUAAUCUUAGUUGCCAUCAUUCAGUUGGGCACUCUAAGGUGACUGCCGGUGACAAACCGGAGGAAGGUGGGGAUGACGUCAAAUCAUCAUGCCCCUUAUGACCUGGGCUACACACGUGCUACAAUGGACGGUACAAAGAGCUGCAAGACCGCGAGGUGGAGCUAAUCUCAUAAAACCGUUCUCAGUUCGGAUUGUAGG